rnacentral:rRNA from 1 species
AGAGUUUGAUCCUGGCUCAGGAUGAACGCUAGCGACAGGCCUAACACAUGCAAGUCGAGGGGCAUCGGGGCGAGGAGCAAUCCUUGCCGCCGGCGACCGGCGCACGGGUGAGUAACGCGUAUGCGACCUGCCCGUUGCAGGGGGAUAAUCGGGAGAAAUCCCGUCUAAUACCGCGUAAUGCCGCGGGGCUGCAUGGCCCUGCGGCCAAAGGGAGCGAUUCCGGCAACGGAUGGGCAUGCGUGACAUUAGCUAGUUGGCGGGGCAACGGCCCACCAAGGCGACGAUGUCUAGGGGUUCUGAGAGGAAGGUCCCCCACACUGGUACUGAGACACGGACCAGACUCCUACGGGAGGCAGCAGUGAGGAAUAUUGGUCAAUGGGCGCGAGCCUGAACCAGCCAAGUCGCGUGAGGGAUGACGGCCCUACGGGUUGUAAACCUCUUUUGUCGGGGAGCAAAUUCCGUUACGUGUAACGGAGUCGAGAGUACCCGAAGAAAAAGCAUCGGCUAACUCCGUGCCAGCAGCCGCGGUAAUACGGAGGAUGCGAGCGUUAUCCGGAUUUAUUGGGUUUAAAGGGUGCGUAGGCGGACUGUCAAGUCAGCGGUAAAAUACGGGGGCUCAACCUCCGCCCGCCGUUGAAACUGACGGUCUUGAGUGGGCGAGAAGUAUGCGGAAUGCGUGGUGUAGCGGUGAAAUGCAUAGAUAUCACGCAGAACUCCGAUUGCGAAGGCAGUGUACCGGCGCCCAACUGACGCUGAAGCACGAAAGCGUGGGUAUCGAACAGGAUUAGAUACCCUGGUAGUCCACGCAGUAAACGAUGAAUACUAGCUGUCCGGGGCGAAUGAGCCCUGGGUGGCACAGCGAAAGCGUUAAGUAUUCCACCUGGGGAGUACGCCGGCAACGGUGAAACUCAAAGGAAUUGACGGGGGCCCGCACAAGCGGAGGAACAUGUGGUUUAAUUCGAUGAUACGCGAGGAACCUUACCCGGGCUCAAACGACACAGGAACGUACCUGAAAGGGUUCGGCUCUACGGAGCCUGUGUCGAGGUGCUGCAUGGUUGUCGUCAGCUCGUGCCGUGAGGUGUCGGCUUAAGUGCCAUAACGAGCGCAACCCCCAUCGACAGUUGCUAACAGGUCAGGCUGAGGACUCUGUCGAGACUGCCGGCGCAAGCUGCGAGGAAGGCGGGGAUGACGUCAAAUCAGCACGGCCCUUACGUCCGGGGCGACACACGUGUUACAAUGGCAGGUACAGCGGGAAGCCACCUGGCGACAGGGAGCGGAACCCGAAAGCCUGUCUCAGUUCGGAUUGGAGUCUGCAACCCGACUCCAUGAAGCUGGAUUCGCUAGUAAUCGCGCAUCAGCCACGGCGCGGUGAAUACGUUCCCGGGCCUUGCACACAAAGCCCGUCA